AGCUGCACCUUCCUGCCCAAUCAGCCAGGCCUUAUCUCCCUGAUCCCACACCCCACAGCUCCUUUGGCUCCUGUUCCUCAGUGUGCUGCCCUGCUGCUGCUGCUCCCAGCAGGCAGUGAAGCCCAGUGUGCCCAGCUCUGCUAGAGAAAGCCAUCGCCACCAAAGUGCCCAACAGGAUCCAGGGCUGCUGUGUGCCGGGGGUUUUGCCGUGCUUGCCCUGCCAGGUCCUGCAGCCCCAGAGGGAUGCAGCGAGCUCUGCUCCCGGCGCUGCGGCAGACGGGAAGGAGAUUCCAAGCAUGUUAAUCAGCGGAGCUGCUGACCUUAUCCCUUCUGCUGCAGGAAAACAUUUUCUAUUGCUCCCUCUUAACAACGACACACUGCCUCCCUUGUUCAGUCACCGAGGAUCUCCACAGAGGCAGAGAAGAAAGCAAGAAAGCCCCAUCUUCUCCAUGAGCAGAGAUCCGCGGGGUCCUGCAUAUUCUGUGCCGAGGCCUCCUUUGGGGAAACUUUGUGGUGCCCGAGUCCCAGCUGCUGCUGCGGGAUGCUGUGGGUGCUGGAGAGCUGCCAGCUCCAGCAGCCCUGGCUCUGGCCCCGCGGCCCCGGGCGCUGCCCCGGCGUGACGCCCAGGCAGUGCAGGGGAUGCUCCAGCACUGCUGACCCAGCCUCCAGGGAGUCGCUCGCCUGCCUGCCCACCCACAGCCCGGGCAUGCAAAGAGGGUGAGAGCUUCCACGCCUUGGACCCAGGGCCCGAAGCUGUGUUAUCCGUCGCCUUGCCUUCCUGUUCCCCAGGGAGCUAGGCAGAUAGCCGCCUGGCUUAUGCACACAAAGCCUUUAAAACACACAGACAGCUGCUGGCAGGAAAACAGCGUUUGUCUGUAUGAAUUCACUGAUAAAAAGCUAAGUCUUUUCUAAGGUCAUGGGCAGCGGAGUUGUCAUGUCACAUCCUACUAUUUAUUCCUCCACAGCAGCCCUUCACUUUCUGAACAUGCAGAGCAGCAAUGCCUCUUUCCAAUAAAUUAGCUCUGCUCACCAGCAUUGCUUGGUAGCAGCAACAGCCAGCAGGCCAGGCUCCAGCAGCAGGAGCACGAAGAGCAGCAGCACAUGAUCAAAUGGUGCGGUGAUACCCGGGCAGCCUGUGGUGCUUUGCUCUCACUGAACUGUGGGAGUUGCUGCCUGUGCAGCUCAGCAGUCAGCAAGGCCUAAUCAAAAGCUAGGAGGUGGAAUGAAUAAUUAGAAAAUUGUCUUCAUAUUUAGUUUCCAAGACCAGAAUUACUCGCCUUGCCUGGGGUCUGUGGAUGUUUGACAGGGAUCAUGGGUGUUUCAUGGGAUCAUGGACACAAUUUUCUUCCUCCGAGGCAGAAAAUAGCCAGAUAAAACAAACAAAAGAUACUGCUUGCGUUGAUUCAUGAGGAAACAAUUUCCCUUCUACUUU